rnacentral:tRNA from 1 species
CGGAACAUAGCUCAGUUGGAAGAGCAGCGUUGUGCUAGGCGUAGGUUCGAGUCCUACUUUCUCGA